rnacentral:rRNA from 1 species
AUACGGAGGGUGCAAGCGUUAAUCGGAAUUACUGGGCGUAAAGCGCACGCAGGCGGUUUGUUAAGUCAGAUGUGAAAUCCCCGGGCUCAACCUGGGAACUGCAUCUGAUACUGGCAAGCUUGAGUCUCGUAGAGGGGGGUAGAAUUCCAGGUGUAGCGGUGAAAUACGUAGAGAUCUGGAGGAAUACCGGUGGCGAAGGCGGCCCCCUGGACGAAGACUAACGCUCAGGUGCGAAAGCGUGGGGAGCAAACAGGAUUAGAUACCCUGGUAUUCCACGCCGUAAACGAUGUCGACUUGGAGGUUGUGCCCUUGAGGCGUGGCUUCCGGAGCUAACGCGUUAAGUCGACCGCCUGGGGAGUACGGCCGCAAGGUUAAAACUCAAAUGAAUUGACGGGG